rnacentral:rRNA from 3 species
GACCUCGGAUCAGGUAGGA